ACUGGGCAUUGCCUCAGUAACGGCGAGUGAAGCGGCAAAAGCUCAAAUUUGAAAUCCUUCGGGAGUUGUAAUUUGUAGGUUGGGAGACCCCGCGGCUAGUGGCACCAAGUCCCUUGGAACAGGGCGCCUUAGAGGGUGAGAGCCCCGUAGGUACCACAAUACCGUCUUGUGUCUCCUCUCCAAAGAGUCGAGUUGUUUGGGAAUGCAGCUCAAAGUGGGUGGUAAAUUCCAUCUAAAGCUAAAUACCGGCGAGAGACCGAUAGCGAACAAGUACAGUGAUGGAAAGAUGAAAAGCACUUUGAAAAGAGAGUGAAACAGUACGUGAAAUUGUUGAAAGGGAAGGGCUUGCAAGCAGACACGGCCUUCGUGCCGGGCCAGCAUCGGUUGCUAGGGGUGGAUAAGGAACAAGGAAUGUAGCUCCUCGGAGUAUUAUAGCCUUGCGCGAUACACCCACUGGCGACCGAGGCCUGCGGUAUUCUUUACCUAGGAUGCUGGCGUAAUGGUUGCAAGCCGCCCGUCUUGAAACMCGGGACMYAAA
rnacentral:rRNA from 1 species